GGAAAGAAUGAAAGGGAAAAGUAAACUUUUUUUUUUAUUUCUGUGAGCUUGAUACAAAAUGAUAUUGUGAGGGCAUGCAGGAUUUCCUGCUGAAGACACAGUCAAGAUAGAUGAUCUUCAGAUCACUCAGUAAUGUAUUUGUGUGUCAUCCUUCAGAGGGGGGAACUCAUUGGGUCUGGAUUAAAGGAUAUUACUUAUACAUGUCCUGAUUCAUAGCCCUAUUCUCAGAAAUUUCAAAUCUGGGGUGCAAAUAAUAGAGACUAAAUAGCUUUUGUCCAUAGGAUGUCGUAUCAUACAAAUUCCACUUCCCUUCUUCAGCUAAAUCAAUUUCUACUACAGUCUUUCCCUACAAUAGAGUUAAAACAUAGACUGUGUUGUUACCUUUAUCUUAGCUUCAAGCAUAAACUCUCUGAUCAUGCUCUGCUAACAUAUAGGUUUGAGACUGGGCCAAACCACUCUUUCAAUGGGUAGGGAAAAGCAGGGGUAGGGAUAGACUGACUCUGAGCUGUGCAUUUUCCAAAGAAAAGCAGUGUUCCAGCCCUGUGAUGCUGUGCUUCCAUUGGCCUUUGGGUGCAGUGUCUUGGUCUGACCUCGGGGCUUUUACUUCUCAGGCUACAAUUUGAUAACAUCUGCCUACUACUUUCUAGCUUUAAAAUCAGCAGUAAUAAGAGCACUGGCCCCAUCGUAUCCUCUAGAGCUGCAAAGAGAAGAGCCCCCAGUAGUCUAAUAGCAGUGGGAUUGCAAACAGAUUUGUGUAAUUUCACAAAGUAUACAAGCUAUAAAUAUUAUGUUUAUUCUAAAGAAGGAAUGUGAAAUGCAGUCAGCAGAUAAAAUGUUUAUUUUCUCACUGUUACAUGUGUUUCUUGAUCCUUUUGUGACCUCAGUGUGGUAAUAUCUAAAUAGUUUGUUCUAAAGCACAAGACAUGCUGUGUGAAGAGGCAGGAACAGGAGUACUCACACCACAUGAGGAUCUUGACUGGUUGAUCAUCUCUUGCUACUUAUGAUUAAGCAAUAAGGAGAGAGGUACAGGGUAUUUCCUGGGGAUUAAUAACUGAUAGGGAGGAGUUAAUGGCCUGAGGUGCAGCUGAGGGCCAUUAACCCCAGCUGGUCAUCAAUCCUCAUUAAAAACCUCUGCAACGCAGUUCACCAAACACGGUGAAGGGCAAACCAAUGUUUUAAGCACCUUUGUGAUUCCCCUCUCUGUUGUGUCCUUAAAUUAGUUCUGAUUUAAUUUCAGUUACUUCCUGGUGUAGAUGGUGCUUUUCUUACUGCAGCAGAAGUUCUAGUCAGCAGUGGGCUUAUCUCACCAGUAGUUGUGUGAAAACUGCAGAGUUCAGACCUUUAUGUGCAAGUGGGAGUCCUCACUACCACAGCAGCAGAAUACGGGGUGUUUUACAAACUCCAGCAUUUAAUUACAUGAAAAAGAAACUGCUGAUGAACUCUGCUCCCUGUGCAUGGGCUUGCAAAAUCAGAAACCAUGUUCUUCUGGGUCUACACAAAUAGCUGAGAGCUAAGUGACCUGAAUGUUUGAAAGGAGGAGAGCACACAGCACCCCAGUUGAAGAAGUCCUGCUUGUGUUAUACCCUUUCCUGAUGCUGUAGAAAACAAAACAGUCCCCUUUGCAGAGAGUGGAAAACUGGUGAAGAACACUGCUGGGUUCCACCACCUUGGAAAGCUCAUCUCAGCCUGACACAGGGGGUGGGAUCUGUGCUCUUUCCAUGUAUUCCUAGGAACUUGGAUAUGCAAACAGUGGGAGCUGUACAGGACAGACUUGGACCAAAGCAGCAGUUCUUUGAGUGUAGUUAUGGAAGGACUUCACUGCCACUAUUCAUCUGAGUGAAGAUAAACAUUCACAGGCUUCUUUUCAGAAUCAUCCUCAUGAAAUAGAUACAGACUGAUAGAGAUUCCUGUUCCAUGGAAAGGCUGAAAACCUUACUUGGAUCCUUACAUUCUGCAUAAUAGCAGCUGAAGAGAGUUUUCUACAUUAACUCUCUGCAUCUGGGACUUGAGGAGGAUUCUCAACCAGUCCAAGAGUAUUUUGAAAGGAAUUUCAGGAAAAAAAAAAGAUGUUUUGCAAAAAGUUUAAAGGGAAGCUCUGUUCUGGCACAGUCAAAAGUAGUUCAGUGUUUUGCACAGUUUUGCUUAUGGGAGGCUUCUGAAUGCUGUUUUACUGUAUGGGAUAACUUGGACUUCCUUACUAAUUUUGAGGCUUCAUAUCAGAUACCUCUGCCAGAAUGCCUGUCCCUUCUAAUAUGCUGUGUUCUUAUGGCUGUAAGUGAUAAGUGGCUUGUGUUUUCAAUUCCAGGUAUCAAGAAUAGAAUCUCAUUUUUAGGGUCUGAGAGUACUGAAACCAGCAAACUUGCUUUAAGUGUACAUUUUGAGACUAACUUGCUCUGUAGCUGUUUUAGUCCAAACUGGUUUGCUGUGUAAGGCAAAAUAUCUGCAUUUCUGUGAUUUCUGUACACCACAUAAAAUCUGCUGCUUUUCAUGUUUCAAAUGCUGGUAAAAGCUCUCCUGCUUGUUUCUGUGUUAA